GAAGGCGGCUCCCUUUGCGCGGGCAGGUGAGGAAUGUCUGAGCUGAAACUCGAUCUGUGCCGGGCGUCACCGUUCACAUACAAGCCGGAGCUGAGAACCACCCAGGGCAAGGAGCGGAUCAAAUUCUCAGAUGUCUCUGCCUGAUUAAAAUCCGACCAGUACUGAGUGACGGAGUGAUCGAGAGGGCCUGACGGCAGGAAAUACACAGCGAAGGAUGACCGUGGAAUAGCCCAGGACUGAAAGACACCAAAUCGGACUGUCUCUUAAAUUCAAAGCGCUUGCAUAGAUUGAGAUGGUUAACAGAUGUUUAACUGGAAUCUGGACCAUAUCCUUGGAUAUUAUGUGAUCUUAAAGGCGAUGUACUGUCUAACGAAUGGUUUUACUGGCAUCCGAAACUGCAACCACAAAUUGAAAUGCUGUCAAUGCUAACGAACUUGCAGAAAUGGUUUAACCCUUUACCCCGACAGACCGCUUGUUAAAGUCGUUUAAGUGGAUAUUCUUGCAAAAAUCAUGAAUUAGAACACCCUCCCAUUUGCUUCCUUAACUGGGGACACUGUUGGUUCGUUUGAUUUCUAUUCGAUCUAGGUGGUCAUGGCUUUUCGUAGAAAAGAAGCUCAACAAUAUCCGUCAAGGAAAGAGAGCAUACAGGAAUACGAAUUGUUUAACAGAACGUUGUCCGUCAGAGGUUUCACAUGUCCGGAAUCUUCCCUCAUUAUCAGAACUAAGAUAUACAACAAGAAAUGAGGCGUGACUCUAAGGCAAACUGUGAUCGAAACUCUAAGGAGAAGGGCUUUCCAGGUUUGCUCAUAUGAAGGUGUAGAAAUUUACUUCGAAGUAAAAACUGAACCUUGAAAUAACUUUAAUUUCUCAAACUUUUUGGUGAGAAUAAAUAUAUGGGAUUUAAACAAAAGGCAAAAUAUAUUUCGUUGUAACUUGGAUUCAAUCAAAGACGACGGUAUUACACAUGUUUCAAAUGAAUUCCGGGAAUAUUAUAUUUGCUUGCAACGUUUUUCUGGAGCUCCUGAAUUGAAACAAAUAUUAGGUACAACAGUAAGAUCACAAACGGAACGUUCAUUGCUAAAUGGGAAGGUUUUAAAAAGUGUCUUUCAGUGGAAAUAAAUGAAUGUAACAGUUGUGUGUCAUUCCCCAUCAUUCAAGAGAAAUGUGGUUGAGAAUAUUUCAUCGAUUGCUUCUUCAUACAUAAGUUUCGGUACUCCAAGUUUUCUAUACCCAAUAUCCUAUCCACUGCCUGAGUCAGAGGCAGACGUAUUGCAUCUCCAGAGCUCUCGUGUCCUUUUGAACCAUUACCUGAAACACAAAGGUCAGCUUGCAUUGGGUAAUGCAGGCGGCAUGACCUGCAGUGCAAAUGUGAUUGGUGGCGAGCGAGACAACCAGCUGUGGAUAUGCAUAAUGAACAUUGGCUCUCCUAGGGGCACAGUUGUCUCGCAAAAGCACGUCUUUGUUGUUGCUGAGGAGGUCGGUGACGUUAAUACAUCACAGACUGUCGCGAAUCCCGAUGACAAAAAUCAAUAAGUUGUGUAAUGCAUAAUGGUAUUUUCCGGUCAUGUAAUGGAAGACUGAAGCGAAAGUUUUUAUUUCAAGCAAACGUGUAUGAACUUUGUAUUGAAAUGGAUUAUGAUCGAGA